UACGUAGGGCGCGAGCGUUGUCCGGAAUCAUUGGGCGUAAAGAGCUCGUAGGCGGCCGGUUGCGUCUGCUGUGAAAUCCCGGGGCUUAACCCCGGGCGUGCAGUGGAUACGGGCUGGCUGGAGGCAGGCAGGGGAGAAUGGAAUUCCCGGUGUAGCGGUGAAAUGCGCAGAUAUCGGGAGGAACACCGGUGGCGAAGGCGGUUCUCUGGGCCUGUGCUGACGCUGAGGAGCGAAAGCUAGGGGAGCGAACAGG
rnacentral:rRNA from 1 species